GCUGGGCAUGGUGGCACCCGCCCAUAAUCCCAGUGGCUUGGGAGGCUGAGGCAGGAGGAUCACAAGUUCAAAGCCAGUCUCAGGAGCGAGGCCCUAAGCAACUCUGUGAGACCCUGUCUCUA
rnacentral:sRNA from 1 species